UGCCAGCCGCCGCGGUAAUACGGAGGGGGUUAGCGUUGUUCGGAAUUACUGGGCGUAAAGAGCAUGUAGGCGGAUGAAUUAGUCAGAGGUGAAAGCCCCGAGCUCAACUUGGGAACUGCCUUUGAUACUGUUUAUCUAGAGUCCGAGAGAGGUUAGUGGAAUUCCCAGUGUAGAGGUGAAAUUCGUAGAUAUUGGGAAGAACACCAGUGGCGAAGGCGGCUAACUGGCUCGGAACUGACGCUGAGGCACGAAAGCUAGGGUAUCGAACGGGAUUAGAUA
rnacentral:rRNA from 1 species